CACGUAGGGUGCGAGCGUUGUCCGGAAUUAUUGGGCGUAAAGAGCUCGUAGGCGGUGUGUCGCGUCGGCCGUGAAAACCUGCAGCUUAACUGUGGGCUUGCGGUCGAUACGGGCAUCACUGGAGUUCGGCAGGGGAGACUGGAAUUCCUGGUGUAGCAGUGAAAUGCGUAGAGAUCAGGAGGAAUACCGAUGGCGGAAGGCAGGUCUCUGGGCUGAUACUGACGCUCAUGCACGAAGCGUGAGGAGCAACAG
rnacentral:rRNA from 1 species